ensembl:lncRNA
GCCUCUCUUCCAGUGACUCGGCUCCGAGGCGUUUCUGGGAGCGGUGCCGCCCUGGGUGGCUGCACCUUUGGAAAACAUCAUCAAUGUCUGAUGUCACCUUACAUUCUCUGCAUGGAUAUAAAAGCUGCUUCAUGCUCAGUGGAGAACAUUGACCAGCAAACAGAGAACCCUGAACAGGUGAACAGGAGAGUAUAACUACUUCACGGCAGGAAAGAGAAGUCAAGCUCAAACCAUCUCUGGAACAACUUUCCAUUGAGGAUGAAGAUCUGUAUCGUCCUACUUCUGUGUGUUGCGUUAGGAAAUGCAGAAACAACAACAGUUGCAAAUGCAGGAACAACUACGGCUGCCCCAGCGACAGCUGCACCUGCAACAACAGUACCACCUGCAACAACUACAGUAGCAGCCGAAACAACAGUGACAGCCACGACCACUACGGUACCAGCCACAACAACUACAGCCAACCCAACAACAACUGCAGUGGCAGCAACCACCACAGAUGCCCCAGCCACAACUACAGCAGCUCUAACAACUACACCUGCACCAGCAACGACUACAGUACCAACUGUAACAACUACAGUAGCAGCCACAACAACUACAGUACCAUCUGCAACAACUAGAGUACAAGCUGCAACAACUACAGGGGUAGCCGCAACAACUCC